GUCUACGCCCAUGCCACCCUGAAUAAACCUGAUCUCGUCUGACCUUGUAAGCUAAGCAGGGUCGGGCCUGGUUAGUACUUAGAUGGGAGUACUAGGAAGACCAGGUGCUGUAGGCA
rnacentral:rRNA from 1 species